AAGCUUUUUUUUAGCAAUGAUGUUCCUUAUAUAUGGAGUGCCGGAUUCGUCCGGCUAUGGCGAUAAAUGGACGUCGGAAUAAGCCUAUCGGACCCGGGGGCAGUACCCGGCGCCUCCACCACUUGCCGCUGCAGCAAGAAGCAGCCUGCCGCGGCGGCAAUUGAUGGGGGCGAACCAGGAUCGACGAGGGUGUAAAGGGCGCGCUUUCGCUCGGCAUGAUACCGCCGUUAUCGGGUCAUUCAGAAUAGUUGCCAACGACAACUAUGCUGAGGCGGCUCUCGCUGCGUAAUGCGGCGCGAAAUGCCUGAACUUCAAAGCCCUGGCGUCUAGCCACGCCAGGCGCGGUCUCGGAGGGCACCGGGCAACAGAAGCCCUCCACU
rnacentral:tmRNA from 1 species